UUUUUGUGUCGCCUUGAAAAGGUGACAUAUAGGGGUUACUUUUGUCGGCGGCGGCGGCGUCUGUGUCGGCGUCGGCGUCCGCUAAAGCUUGUCCGGAGCAUAACUCAGUCACUAUAAGUCUGAUUGACUUCAAACUUGGUAUGCAUGCUUCUUUCAAUAACCCGAAGUGCAGUGCACAAGGACCGGUACUCUGCAGUUCUUAUUUUUUGAGUUAUUGCCCUUUGUUAAUUUUCAUACUUUAAUUUUGUCCGGGCCAUUUCUCUUCAACUAAAAAAGCUAUAGACUUGAAACUUCAUAGGAUGAUAGAUCUCAUUAAGAAGAAAUGCAGUGCACAAGAACCAGUACUCUGCACUCCUAAUUUUUGAGUUAUUGCCCUUUGUUAAUUUUCAUACUUUAUUUUUGUCCAGGCCAUUUCUCCUAAUGUAUAAAAGCCAUGGACUUGAAACUUCAUAGGAUGAUAGGUCUCAUUAAGAAGAAGUGCAGUGCACAAGAACUGGUACUCUGCAUUUCUUAUUUUUUGAGUUAUUGCCCUUUGUUUAUUUUCAUUUUUUUAAUUUUGUCCGGGCCAUUUCUCCUUAAGUAUAAAAGCUUUGGACUUGAAACUUCAUAGGAUGAUAGAUAUUAUUAUUAAGAAGUGCAGUGCACAAGAAUCGGUACUUUGUAUCCUAAUUUUUGAGUUAUGGCCCUUUGUUAAUUUUAAUACUUAAUUUUUGUCCUGGCCAUUUCUCCGAAAGUAUAAAAGUUAUGGACUUGAAACUUCAUAGGAUGAUAGAUCUCAUUAAAAAGAAGUGCAGUGCAUAAGAACUGAUACUCUGCAUUUCUUAUUUUUGAGUAAUUGCCCUUUGUUGAUUUUCUUACUUUAUUUUUGUCCUGGUCAUUUCUCCUCAAGUAUGAAAGCUAUGGACUUGAAACAUCAUAGAAUGAUAGAUCUUAUUGAUAAGAAGUGCAGUGUACAGAAAUGCUGCUCUGCACGUAUUAUUUUUUUAGUUAUUGCCCUUUGUUAUUUUUCAUAUUUCAUUUUUGUCCUGGCCAUUUCCCCUAAACUACAUUGUUCACAAGGCGACACAUCCGACUCGCGGAGUUCUAGUUGA